GCUAAGCACUUACAACUGUUUGCAGAGGAAGCUGAGACUUUGUAACACAUCUCAGUCUCAUCUGCAAAGAAGUAAGUGUUUUGC
rnacentral:pre_miRNA from 2 species